rnacentral:rRNA from 1 species
GAUCAAGUGUCUUAAGGGCAAUUGGUGGAUGCCUUGGCAUGCACAGGCGAUGAAGGA